UGGGGAAUAUUGCACAAUGGGCGCAAGCCUGAUGCAGCGACGCCGCGUGCGGGAUGGAGGCCUUCGGGUUGUAAACCGCUUUUGUUUGGGAGCAAGCCCUUCGGGGUGAGUGUACCUUUCGAAUAAGCACCGGCUAACUACGUGCCAGCAGCCGCGGUAAUACGUAGGGUGCGAGCGUUAUCCGGAUUUAUUGGGCGUAAAGGGCUCGUAGGCGGUUCGUCGCGUCCGGUGUGAAAGUCCAUCGCCUAACGGUGGAUCUGCGCCGGGUACGGGCGGGCUGGAGUGCGGUAGGGGAGACUGGAAUUCCCGGUGUAACGGUGGAAUGUGUAGAUAUCGGGAAGAACACCAAUGG
rnacentral:rRNA from 1 species